AUUGAACGCUGGCGGCAUGCCUUACACAUGCAAGUCGAACGGCAGCAUGGAGAGCUUGCUCUCUGAUGGCGAGUGGCGAACGGGUGAGUAAUGCAUCGGAACGUACCGUGUAAUGGGGGAUAACGUAGCGAAAGUUACGCUAAUACCGCAUACGACCUGAGGGUGAAAGCAGGGGAUCGCAAGACCUUGCGUUAUACGAGCGGCCGAUGUCAGAUUAGCUAGUUGGUGAGAUAAAGGCCCACCAAGGCGACGAUCUGUAGCGGGUCUGAGAGGAUGAUCCGCCACACUGGGACUGAGACACGGCCCAGACUCCUACGGGAGGCAGCAGUGGGGAAUUUUGGACAAUGGGGGCAACCCUGAUCCAGCCAUGCCGCGUGAGUGAAGAAGGCCUUCGGGUUGUAAAGCUCUUUCGGCCGGGAAGAAAUCGCACAGGCUAAUACUCUGUGUGGAUGACGGUACCGGCAUAAGAAGCACCGGCUAACUACGUGCCAGCCGCCGCUGUAA
rnacentral:rRNA from 1 species